rnacentral:lncRNA from 1 species
GCGCUGGAGUGAUGGAGGGGAAGAGAUUCGCUUAGACACACACACGCGCACACAGCUGGGCACGUCUCCGGGAGGCAGCCGCCGGGGGCCGGGCGGCGGCCGUGACAGCACCAGCCGCAGGGACUCGGGCGCCCACACAGCUUGGCCCCUGCGGCUCCAAAGACCGGGAAGGCAAGAUCCCAGCCUCACUGACAGUUGCUCUUUUGGGCAGAUCAGGAGGAAGCAGGCUGCCCAGGGUGCUGUCACCGAGGACCCAGGAGGCUCUCCGUUCGGCGCUCAGAGUCCGGGGCCGCGCCGGUGCCCGCGUGGGGCGAGGAGGAUGCUCACCUCCUCCCGCAGAUCAGCUGCGGGCCCCGGCACUGAGCGGACUCCGGUUCCGGCGGUCGCCCCUACCUUGCCCGCGCCGCGGGAGCGCGCUCUGCCGUACCUGGCUCCAGCCUCCUGGGGAAGUGCAGGAAACGAGCCCUAAACUCCACUACUUCUCGCCGGCCUCCUCCCCCUCGAGGCUCCCCGCCCUGGACCUCGCCGCCGCCGCCGCCGCCUGCGCCUAAGGCCCGCCCGCCUCUUACUCUCACACGCGCACGCACAGCUCCGCUAGCUCGCUCCCAUCCACGCAGACUCGCUCUCCGCCGAGCCCAAGCCCGGGCGUCCGAAACUACUGGCCCAACUGCCAACGGGACUGCAGGAGACGCCCCGGGGCCCGGUGCGACCUGCCGGGGGCCCCCGCGCCCUGGGCUCCCGCCUGCGCCACUGUCGCCGCCGGGGACGUUGAGGUAAUCAGAUACCCAGAGGCUACAGCGCGAUGUCUUCCCUUCUCAAUGGCAUUUCUGGUGUCCACCUCAGGAGUCUCCUUGGCCAGCCUUGAAACACUUGGAAAUUAAACAGAGAAGCCACUGCAUAUAUCCUGGAAAAUCUCCAUCCUGUGUGUUCAGAACUCUCUGAAUAAGCAUAAGGAUUUGAAGGCGCUAACAGAGUGGGAAGCAAGCCAAGAGGACAGCAGUAGGUGUACAGAGGCCAUGGAAUACCCACCAACCAGAUAAUCAUCGCUGGAAUAACUGGAAGUGUCUGAAUGUAGGUAUGUGUACCGAAGACUUCUCUGUGCUCUUUCAGUAAGUAACUGUUAUCUAGCUCUCCCAUCAAUGUUAUUCAUACACCUGCAGGCUCAUCAGCCUUUUGAAAGCACUGCUUGGUGGGACUUGGAUGCACAUGCAAGCAUGCACAUAGCCACUCAGAAGCACAGGAGGGCCUCCCUCCUCCCUGGGCGCCUGGAACAUUCUCCAAAAUGACCUAAACCUGUCUUCCAAUUCUCUCAUCCCAGUAUUCCCAUAUAGCAUUCCCACACCUUCUUCCCACGGACACUGAGCCUUGUUUCCUGAGCACAGAAAGCUGUUGUCUUGCCUUCCUAACAGAAAUAACUUUCCCAUAUCCUCUUUGCUGGCUUAAGUUCUCUUUCUCCUUCAAGACCUAAAUCAGUUUUCACCUAUAUUACAACAUCUUGCUGAUUCCCCCUCCCAAUUAUUUCCUUCUUUCCAUAUGUCUGUAGAGCUUGUAUUCAUACCUCCCCUCUGGCAUUUGACAACUUGUAUCAUGAAUUGCUGUUUCUCUCUUUAUGCAUCUGCCCUGUGUCCUCAGUGUAGCUGUUUGUUUUUUAAGAGACAGGAUCUAUUGUAUUUUUGCAGACCAGAGACCAAGACCAAGGAAAAUGGGCUGGUAAAGAGCUGCUGUGAUGUAGGGACGCAACAAAGAGGGGUGGUUAAGAAUAGAGUCUGGGGAGUUCUGGGCAUGGCCCAUGGGUAAGGAACCAGACUGUAUCCAUGAGGAUACAGGUGGAUCCCUGACCUCACUCAGUGGGUUAAGGAUGCAGCGUCACCUUGAGCUGUGGUGUAGGUUGUAGAUGCUGCUUGGAUCCCGAGUUGCUCUGGUUGUGGCUUAGGCCAACAGCUGUAGCUCCAACUGGACCCCUAGCCUCAGAACUUCCAUAUGCCACUGGUGCGGCCCUAAAAAGCAAAACAACAACAACAACACCCAAAAAAAACAAAAA